rfam:Eubacterium sp. CAG:38 genomic scaffold, scf141
CCGCGCAGCCGGGGCAUUAGCGGCGCCUUGUACCUGCAAUCCGCUAUAGCAGGGGUGAUAUCGGGCCGAGGGCAGUUUUCUGUAGAGCUGCCCGGUAUAAGUGGUGUUGACGUCUGGGUCUUUCGCAACAGGAAUUCAUGAACCAUGUCAGGUCAGGAAUGAAGCAGCAUUAAGUGAAACCUCCUGUGUGCCGGAAGGGUGCCUGGGCCGAGCUAACUGUACCGGUAACGUCUGUGGACAGCUGUACGACGUCCGGUGCGCGG